AGAAUUAUAAACAAUUGUAGAUUCAGAAAAAAAAGACGCAUUUAUUUUCAUUCUGUAGAUGGACUCACAUGAACUCUUCUUGUGAAAUCUGCACUUCACUCCUAUGCAAUGAUGAACACAUAACUUUUUCAAAAGAUGCUUAGACAUAGAUUUUUCCCUCCUCACACCUUCCUUCCUUCACUUACAAGACGAUAUUCCAUCAACCAUUGGAACGUAAAUACAGUGCUUAUGAGGUUUCUUUAGACAUGAUCAAUCAUGACUGAACUCAGUUUACGAUUAGACUCGACACUUUGGCUAGUCCUUUAUUACAUGGUGUUUAUUGGAGUGAUUUCCUUUACUGAUAUCAAAGAGAAUUUAUUUAUUUCUCGGAUCGGCAACACGACUGAGAGCAUAUUCAUCUAAUAAAGCAGUAGAAUGCUCGUAUAUAAUCUUCUGAUAGCCCUAUAUUCACUUCUAUGUCCAACCAAUUCAACUCAGCUCUACUCCAAAUACUUUGAUGAUAAUGUAAUUGAAAGGUUGCCCCACUCUCAUCUUAGAAGUCCAUUCAAUAAUAUACAUAUUCGUCGAACCACACGGCUUCUAAGAAUAUGCAAAAAAUAUCUUGAUCCAGGAAGACUCCAGUCCUCUGGUAUUCAAUCCUUGGGAACCCAGAAUAAUAAUAUUUUCAAAAUAGGAAGAGAUGUUCAAAUUUUGACAUGCGUUCCAAAAGGAAUCCUGGAUGAGGAAUGUAGUUUAACACUAAGGGAUCUUCAGUCACAUAUCCCUAAAUUGAUCCUUGUGGUCCAUCCCUUCCUUCGAUUGGGAAUCGUAUAUUUGACACAUUUCGAAAAAAUAUGUCCAUUUAAUGAAUUUAUAAAUAUUGUACUCAAAAAUCCAAGACAUGUUUUGUCUUUGAAUGAAAAGAAAGUUCAUGCAUUGUCAGGAUCGUAUCUCAAGGAUUGCCAAGUUUGUGAUCAAAAUUUAAACCCCGACAUUAUUUUAAAAAUCGAUGAUCCCACGUUUGUUGAGAAUCUAGAGAACUUUCAAGAUGAAUUUAAUCUCAAGGAUGAAGAAAUGGAUAUGAUUUGUACGGAUGGUUUCCUUUCAAGGAGAGCUGAAAUGGGUAAAUUAUUUAAGAAUUUAUCAAGGUUCGAAAUGGAUGAGUUAUCAGAGUUUUAUAGCCUUGAUAUGGAGCUCUUUGGAUAUGAUCCAGCUCAUUUUUAUUCUUAUAUUUAGGAAUGAGUGCUAUUAUACAAAUAUUGAAUAAAUGUUAUACAUUGCGUACUCUACAAGUCAAAUAUAUUUGGCAUGACUAAUAAUUCUAAUCUGCAAACUCAAAUAUACAUACAAACAUAGGUCACUCAUAGUUAUAUUGUUUAUUAAUAAACAAGUAGAAUUACAUAAAACUGAGUCGGUUUUUUUCAUUUCUGUUUUAAUGUGUCUUUGUCUUAACGAGUUAAUAAUACAAGUUGCAUUGUGAUUGAAUAUAUCUAGCCUCUCUCCUAUGCUCAAAACUGAACCCAACCUUAGCGAACUCUCUAGGGUAUAGACUAUCGAUUAAAAUAUAAAUCAUGAUCGUCGUGAAUCCGUCUACCCUGGUUUUUAAAGGUGAUUUCUUCAACCCUGGACGAGUCACGUCCGCUCUCACCCUAUCAUUCCCUCAAACAUCUACAUCAAAGGAGAUCUUGUUCAAAAUCCGAACCAAUUAUCAUGAAGAUGGACUGAGUGUGAUUCCCUCGAAAGGGAUUUUAAAUCCCGUCUCUGUGACAUCCCAACAGGUGAUUUUCAUCAUGGAAUUGAAGGGUAAGGAAGUGGAUUUUGAUGAACUAAGGGUUCAAAUUGUGUACUACUCAAGUGGAGAGUCUCGACUCGGGGAGGGAAGUUUAGUGGAACUCUGGAGCCAGGUCCCAGGGAAGUCGGUUCAAAAAAUCUUGUUGACAUGUAUCAUGGACACUUCUUGCUCCAUGCUUGAUAUUUUAGAGGAUGAUGAGCCGACUCCGUCUGAUAAGAUUGGUAAUUCAACAUGCAUUCCGGAAGAUGAGGAGCUUAUCCUUCCCCCCUCUUUGUCUGCGAAUCAAACUUUUGUCAGGGAUGGUUCGAGUAUGGAUAGUUAUAGAGAUGGAGUGAUUUUUUUGAGUGGAAUAAUUUUCGUUUGGAUCGUACCGUCCCUUAUUUCAAGAGCAUUUUACAUAAGCUCCAAUUAUGUAAUUUCCCUAUUAUUAUAAUCACAACUUCAAGUCGUUGAAUGACAUCAAUGUCGUAUUAGUGAUGCAAAGGAUCAAGAUGAGAUUAGCAAACCCAUACCUAUAGAUCAUAUGGGGAAAAUUUGUCAUGUAUCUAUCUAGUCAAUGAUUGGAACGAUAAUUAAUUUAUCAGAAUAUUUAACUUGAUAUAAAUAAUAUUUAUGUUAUAAAUUUGUACUGGAUAGU
rnacentral:misc_RNA from 1 species